CUCGUCAGGCUCAUAACCUGAAGGCCGCAGGUUCAAAUCCUGCCCCCGCAA
rnacentral:tRNA from 1 species